rnacentral:rRNA from 1 species
AAAUUGAAGAGUUUGAUCAUGGCUCAGAUUGAACGCUGGCGGCAGGCCUAACACAUGCAAGUCGAACGGUAACAGGAAGCAGCUUGCUGCUUCGCUGACGAGUGGCGGACGGGUGAGUAAUGUCUGGGAAACUGCCUGAUGGAGGGGGAUAACUACUGGAAACGGUGGCUAAUACCGCAUAAUGUCGCAAGACCAAAGAGGGGGACCUUCGGGCCUCUUGCCAUCAGAUGUGCCCAGAUGGGAUUAGCUUGUUGGUGAGGUAACGGCUCACCAAGGCGACGAUCCCUAGCUGGUCUGAGAGGAUGACCAGCCACACUGGAACUGAGACACGGUCCAGACUCCUACGGGAGGCAGCAGUGGGGAAUAUUGCACAAUGGGCGCAAGCCUGAUGCAGCCAUGCCGCGUGUAUGAAGAAGGCCUUCGGGUUGUAAAGUACUUUCAGCGGGGAGGAAGGUGUUGUGGUUAAUAACCACAGCAAUUGACGUUACCCGCAGAAGAAGCACCGGCUAACUCCGUGCCAGCAGCCGCGGUAAUACGGAGGGUGCAAGCGUUAAUCGGAAUUACUGGGCGUAAAGCGCACGCAGGCGGUCUGUCAAGUCGGAUGUGAAAUCCCCGGGCUCAACCUGGGAACUGCAUUCGAAACUGGCAGGCUUGAGUCUUGUAGAGGGGGGUAGAAUUCCAGGUGUAGCGGUGAAAUGCGUAGAGAUCUGGAGGAAUACCGGUGGCGAAGGCGGCCCCCUGGACAAAGACUGACGCUCAGGUGCGAAAGCGUGGGGAGCAAACAGGAUUAGAUACCCUGGUAGUCCACGCCGUAAACGAUGUCUACUUGGAGGUUGUGCCCUUGAGGCGUGGCUUCCGGAGCUAACGCGUUAAGUAGACCGCCUGGGGAGUACGGCCGCAAGGUUAAAACUCAAAUGAAUUGACGGGGGCCCGCACAAGCGGUGGAGCAUGUGGUUUAAUUCGAUGCAACGCGAAGAACCUUACCUGGUCUUGACAUCCACAGAACUUUCCAGAGAUGGAUUGGUGCCUUCGGGAACUGUGAGACAGGUGCUGCAUGGCUGUCGUCAGCUCGUGUUGUGAAAUGUUGGGUUAAGUCCCGCAACGAGCGCAACCCUUAUCCUUUGUUGCCAGCGAUUCGGUCGGGAACUCAAAGGAGACUGCCAGUGAUAAACUGGAGGAAGGUGGGGAUGACGUCAAGUCAUCAUGGCCCUUACGACCAGGGCUACACACGUGCUACAAUGGCGCAUACAAAGAGAAGCGACCUCGCGAGAGCAAGCGGACCUCAUAAAGUGCGUCGUAGUCCGGAUUGGAGUCUGCAACUCGACUCCAUGAAGUCGGAAUCGCUAGUAAUCGUGGAUCAGAAUGCCACGGUGAAUACGUUCCCGGGCCUUGUACACACCGCCCGUCACACCAUGGGAGUGGGUUGCAAAAGAAGUAGGUAGCUUAACCUUCGGGAGGGCGCUUACCACUUUGUGAUUCAUGACUGGGGUGAAGUCGUAACAAGGUAACCGUAGGGGAACCUGCGGUUGGAUCACCUCCUUACCUUAAAGAAGC